AUGUGCUACUCGCCUCUCUCGAGCAACUGCGUCGCGUGGUCGUUUUGGUUCGAACGAUUUCACAGUGACAGGAAUUUUUACGAUGCUGUCAAAGUCCUGGCCAUUGGUUCUUCUUUACUCCUUUAUUUUUCCUUUUUGUGCAUGACGGAUGGGCCUCAAAUGUCCUCGGGCCCAUCGUUCUUGUGCAUCCUGUGUGCGUACUGGUUGAGAGAAGGGAGAGAAGUGGGGGUGAAUCGAGCUGCGAGGCGAAAACCUAGCGCCAGCAAUCCCGUGCGUCUUCGAGGAGCCAAUCCAGCCCCGCUUCCCUCCCUCUCCACGGCGCUGCCGGCUCCUCCCCUUUUGCCCUACUCUCCACUGCGCCGCCUCUUCCUCCUCUUCACUAUCCUCUCCAGCGGCGGCAAAGAUCUGCCGACAAAGGGAGAUGACAGCGGCGCUCAAUCGGAUCUGCUGAAGAGAAAGAUGAGAGGGAGAGAGACAAGGAAGGAGAGGAGGGAGAAAGAGAGAGCUAAGCAGAGAGGGAGGUGUGAUGGCGGAUGA
rnacentral:rRNA from 1 species